GACGAACGCUGGCGGCGUGCUUAACACAUGCAAGUCGAACGGAAAGGCCCUGCUUUUGUGGGGUGCUCGAGUGGCGAACGGGUGAGUAACACGUGAGUAACCUGCCCUUGACUUUGGGAUAACUUCAGGAAACUGGGGCUAAUACCGGAUAGGAGCUCAUGCUGCAUGGUGGGGGUUGGAAAGUUUCGGCGGUUGGGGAUGGACUCGCGGCUUAUCAGCUUGUUGGUGGGGUAGUGGCUUACCAAGGCUUUGACGGGUAGCCGGCCUGAGAGGGUGACCGGCCACAUUGGGACUGAGAGACGGCCCAGACUCCUACGGGAGGCAGCAGGGGGGAAUAUUGCACAAUGGGCGGAAGCCUGAUGCAGCAACGCCGCGUGCGGGAUGACGGCCUUCGGGUUGUAAACCGCUUUCGCCUGUGACGAAGCGUGAGUGACGGUAAUGGGUAAAGAAGCACCGGCUAACUACGUG
rnacentral:rRNA from 1 species